ensembl:snoRNA SNORD116 Small nucleolar RNA SNORD116
GGAUUGAUGGUGUCACACAUACAUAGAGUCCUUGGAAAGCUAAACAAAAGGAAUGAAAAAUCAGUACUGUCACUGGCAUAGAACUGAGGUCA